rnacentral:rRNA from 2 species
UGGGGAAUAUUGCACAAUGGGCGCAAGCCUGAUGCAGCAACGCCGCGUGCGGGAUGACGGCCUUCGGGUUGUAAACCGCUUUCAGCAGGGACGAAGCGCAAGUGACGGUACCUGCAGAAGAAGCACCGGCCAACUACGUGCCAGCAGCCGGGUGAUACGUAGGGUGCGAGCGUUGUCCGGAAUUAUUGGGCGUAAAGAGCUUGUAGGCGGUUUGUCGCGUCGAAAGUGAAAACUCAGGCCUUAAUCCUGAGCUUGCUUCCGAUACGGGCUGACUAGAGGAAGGUAGGGGAGAGUGGAAUUCCUGGUGGAGCGGUGGAAUGCGCAGAUAUCAGGAGGAACACCAGUGGCGAAGGCGGCUCUCUGGACCUUUCCUGACGCUGAGAAGCGAAAGCGUGGGGAGCAAACAGG